rnacentral:tRNA from 1 species
GGCUUUAUAUUCAUUUUAUGAUUUAUAAUUGCAAAUUAUAAGGUGUAAUAUUUACUAAGGCUU